UCACUGCUCGUGCCUCGAGCACCACGGCGGCGGCGGCAGCGGGACUGUUCUGGCCGACGACGGCAUCGAUGACGACGAGUUUUUGCUACUUCUUUUAGUCAUUUUACCUCCCCUGGCCCUGGCGAGUUGCACAGCCUUCAACGGGCCAAGCGCAGGCACUGGCGUCGCACCAAACUUGGAUUCUGAGCGGUGGAAGAAAUGGUGGCUAACGACGCCUCGGGGAUUCAUUUGCAGGAGUGUUAAAACAGCUCGUUGUUUUGGGAUUUGCCGCCUCAAGUUUCAUCUAGCUACCUCCAACAAACCCUUCAAUCUCCAUGGCUACAUCGAUAUCAACUCAAUAUACUAACGAGGAGGAAAUUAAAAGGAAGAGAAAGAAGCGAAAGAGAGUUGUUGUAUUAGCCUAGUGUACAAUAAAGACCAAGCAAAUGGAGAGGGUGCUAAAACAGCAGCUGAAAGUUCAAAGGAAAUGGGAAAAGAGAAUGAUAUCGGAGGCAAGGAUGCUCCAUAUUCUGUAUCUUCCUCGAGUAGUUUAAAAAGACAAAGAUCAGAUGAUUCAUUUAACUCUAUAUGGUGUGAUAAGUUUGACAUGUAUCUGCAUUGAAAGAUGAUGGUCCAAAGCUACCCUCUUCCGCCGAAGUUCUCGCCACAUUACAAGAGGUUGAGGGA
rnacentral:misc_RNA from 1 species